rnacentral:rRNA from 1 species
CCCUUAGAUGUUCUGGGCCGCACGCGCGCUACACUGACGAAGUCAGCGAGCAUGUCCUACGCCGACAGGUGCGGGGAAUCUUGUCAAACUUCGUCGUGAUGGGGAUUGAUUAUUGAAAUUCUUGAUCAUCAACGAGGAAUUCCUAGUAAGCGCAAGUCAGCAGCUUGCGUUGAUUACGUCCCUGCCAUUUGUACACACCGCCCGUCGCUACUACCGAUUGAAUGGUUUAGUGAGAUCUUCGGAUUGGCGCCACUGCGGCUCAGCAAUGGGCUCGGUGGAUGCCGAAAAGUUGAUCAAACUUGAUCAUUUAGAGGAAGUAAAAGUCGUAACA